rnacentral:rRNA from 1 species
AUGCUUAGUACGGCGAGUGAGCGGCAAAAGCUCAAAUUUGAAAUCUGGUACCUUCGGUGCCCGAGUUGUAAUUUGGAGAGGGCAACUUUGGGGCCGUUCCUUGUCUAUGUUCCUUGGAACAGGACGUCAUAGAGGGUGAGAAUCCCGUGUGGCGAGGAGUGCGGUUCUUUGUAAAGUGCCUUCGAAGAGUCGAGUUGUUUGGGAAUGCAGCUCUAAGUGGGUGGUAAAUUCCAUCUAAAGCUAAAUAUUGGCGAGAGACCGAUAGCGAACAAGUACAGUGAUGGAAAGAUGAAAAGAACUUUGAAAAGAGAGUGAAAAAGUACGUGAAAUUGUUGAAAGGGAAGGGCAUUUGAUCAGACAUGGUGUUUUGUGCCCUCUGCUCCUUGUGGGUAGGGGAAUCUCGCAUUUCACUGGGCCAGCAUCAGUUUUGGUGGCAGGAUAAAUCCAUAGGAAUGUAGCUUGCCUCGGUAAGUAUUAUAGCCUGUGGGAAUACUGCCAGCUGGGACUGAGGACUGCGACGUAAGUCAAGGAUGCUGGCAUAAUGGUUAUAUGCCGCCCGU